AUACAACUUUCAGCAACGGAUCUCUUGGCUCUCGCAUCGAUGAAGAACGCAGCGAAAUGCGAUAAGUAAUGUGAAUUGCAGAAUUCAGUGAAUCAUCGAAUCUUUGAACGCACCUUGCGCUCCUUGGUAUUCCGAGGAGCAUGCCUGUUUGAGUGUCAUUAAAUUCUCA
rnacentral:rRNA from 1 species